GUGCUUACUUCAGCAGCAUGCUAAAAUUGGAAUGAUACAGAGAUUAGCUUAGCCCCUGUGCAAGGAUGACACAAACAUUUGUGACAUGUUCCGUAUUUUU
rnacentral:snRNA from 1 species